rnacentral:tRNA from 1 species
GCUUUUGUGGUUCAGUGGUUAGAGCAUCGUCCUGUGCACUGAAGGGUUGCCGGUUCAGUUCCGGUCAAGGACA